GAUGAACGCUAGCUACAGGCUUAACACAUGCAAGUCGAGGGGAAACGAUAUUGGAAGCUUGCUUUUUCUAGGCGUCGACCGGCGCACGGGUGAGUAACGCGUAUCCAACCUGCCCAUCACUUGGGGAUAACCUUGCGAAAGUAAGACUAAUACCCAAUGACGUCCAUAGAAGACAUCUGAAAGGGAUUAAAGAUUUAUCGGUGAUGGAUGGGGAUGCGUCUGAUUAGCUUGUUGGCGGGGUAACGGCCCACCAAGGCGACGAUCAGUAGGGGUUCUGAGAGGAAGGUCCCCCACAUUGGAACUGAGACACGGUCCAAACUCCUACGGGAGGCAGCAGUGAGGAAUAUUGGUCAAUGGGCGAGAGCCUGAACCAGCCAAGUAGCGUGCAGGAUGACGGCCCUAUGGGUUGUAAACUGCUUUUAUAAGGGAAUAAAGUGAGCCUCGUGAGGCUUUUUGCAUGUACCUUAUGAAUAAGGACCGGCUAAUUCCGUGCCAGCCGCCGCAGUAA
rnacentral:rRNA from 1 species